rnacentral:lncRNA from 1 species
ACAGCAGUGUGUUUCCCAGUAAAGAAAAUAGGAUGCGGCCGUGCGCAGUGACUUACACCUGUAAUCCCAGCACUUUGGGAGGCCGAGGCGGGUGGAUCACCUGAGCUUCACGGAGCUACCUGAGUCAGCGCCUGCAUCUCCACCACCAUCAUCAUCGUCACUGUCUUCAUCGCCUCUGGGCUGGACCAGCCCCUGCCUGUGAGCUCCCUGGAGCCAGAGGUGCAAAGUCUGCAAUGACACAAAAAGCCAGCACGCUGGGAGGGGCUCUGGAGACCAUCUCAUUGUUCAUUCAUUUGUCUAUUCAAUCCAUUUUAUUGACUGCUCACUGUGUGCCAGACACAUGGGCCCUGGAGAUACAGAAGAAACACGUGAGGUCCCUGCCCUCCAGGAAUUAAGAAGAUAAAGUCAAAAGUGCUGUAAAGAACAACAGGAUGAUGGGGAGUGGUGCCCUCGGGUCCCAAGAGGGCUGCAGACUGCAGGCCUCCCUGAAGUGAAGAUGCAGCAAAGUGGAAGACAGCACACGGAAACCAUGCAGCAGCUCCCUCUGGGGAAGAGAAAGAGGGAGCCACGUUGCUCUAUACCCUGUGGACUUCUUGCAAUAUGAACCUUCAUGGACCUAAGAAAAAUAAUAAUAAAGGAAAA